CAUUGUAGCUCAAUGGUAGAGCAUUCGGCUGUUAACCGAAGGGUUGUUGGUUCGAGUCCGGCCAAUGC
rnacentral:tRNA from 1 species